GUUUGAUCAUGGCUCAGAUUGAACGCUGGCGGAAUGCUUUACACAUGCAAGUCGAACGGCAGCACGGGAGCUUGCUCCUGGUGGCGAGUGGCGAACGGGUGAGUAAUGCGUCGGAACGUACCGAGUAAUGGGGGAUAACGCAGCGAAAGUUGUGCUAAUACCGCAUACGCCCUGAGGGGGAAAGUGGGGGAUCGUAAGACCUCACGUUAUUCGAGCGGCCGACGUCUGAUUAGCUAGUUGGUGGGGUAAAGGCCUACCAAGGCGACGAUCAGUAGCGGGUCUGAGAGGAUGAUCCGCCACACUGGGACUGAGACACGGCCCAGACUCCUACGGGAGGCAGCAGUGGGGAAUUUUGGACAAUGGGGGCAACCCUGAUCCAGCCAUUCCGCGUGAGUGAAGAAGGCCUUCGGGUUGUAAAGCUCUUUUAGCUGGAACGAAACGGUACGCGCUAACAUCGUGUGCUAAUGACGGUACCAGCAGAAGAAGCACCGGCUAACUACGUGCCAGCAGCCGCGGUAAUACGUAGGGUGCGAGCGUUAAUCGGAAUUACUGGGCGUAAAGCGUGCGCAGGCGGAUUGUUAAGCAAGAUGUGAAAUCCCCGGGCUUAACCUGGGAAUGGCAUUUUGAACUGGCAGUCUAGAGUGCGUCAGAGGGGGGUGGAAUUCCACGUGUAGCAGUGAAAUGCGUAGAGAUGUGGAGGAACACCGAUGGCGAAGGCAGCCCCCUGAGAUGACGCUGACGCUCAUGUACGAAAGCGUGGGUAGCAAACAGGAUUAGAUACCCUGGUAGUCCACGCCCUAAACGAUGUCAACUGGUUGUUGGGGGAGUGAAAUCCCUUAGUAACGAAGCUAACGCGUGAAGUUGACCGCCUGGGGAGUAC
rnacentral:rRNA from 1 species